rnacentral:tRNA from 1 species
ACCUGGGUGGCUCAGUCAGUUGAGCAUCUGACUUUGGUUCAGGUCAUGGUCUCACAGUUUGUGGGUUCAAGCCCCGCAUUGGGCU